rnacentral:rRNA from 1 species
UACGUAGGGUGCGAGCGUUAAUCGGAAUUACUGGGCGUAAAGCGUGCGCAGGCGGUUCGUUAAGUCAGAUGUGAAAGCCCCGGGCUCAACCUGGGAAUGGCAUUUGAAACUGGCGGGCUGGAGUGUGGCAGAGGGGGGUGGAAUUCCACGUGUAGCAGUGAAAUGCGUAGAGAUGUGGAGGAACACCGAUGGCGAAGGCAGCCCCCUGGGCCAACACUGACGCUCAGGCACGAAAGCGUGGGGAGCAAACAGG